rnacentral:lncRNA from 1 species
UCGUUUUCUUGUGAAAGAUGAGCCCUUUAAUUUGAGAUCACUCGUGCUUCUCACCCAUGAUCCAUCCGUUCAAAAAGCAUGGUUUGAGUUAGGUAAUUGGUACAAAAAUGAUAUUCCCACCUCAUUUCAUACUGCUAAUGGAAAAUAUUUCUGGGAUUACUUUUCGAAAGAACCAAAAUUAGGUGAUAUUUUCAAUGAUGUAAUGGCUAGUGAGUCGGGAUUGAUUGUCAAUAUGCUUAUCACGGAGUGUAGGCACGUUUUUGAGGGGUUGACAUCAUUGGUAGACGUUG